GAGAUUUUCGCAAUGCCCGAAAGGGUGACGAAGCGACGCCGCGUGAGCGAUGAAGGCCUUCGGGUUGUAAAGCUCUGUCACACGGGACGAAUGCCUUGACGGUGAAUAACCGGCAAGGAGGGACGGUACCGUGAGAGGAAGCUCCGGCUAACUCCGUGCCAGCAGCCGCGGUAAGACGGGGGGAGCGAGCGUUGUUCGGAUUCAUUGGGCGUAAAGGGCAAGUAGGCGGCUCGUUAAGUCAGGUGUGAAAUCCCUCCGUUCAACGGAGGAAUGGCAUCCGAUACUGUCGGGCUUGAGGAGUGGAGAAGCGAGCGGAAUUCUCGGUGUAGCGGUGGAAUGCGUAGAUAUCGGGAAGAACACCAGUGGCGAAGGCGGCCCUCUGGUCUGUGACUGACGCUGAGGUGCGAAAGCCAGGGAGCAAACAGGAUUAGAUACCCUGGUAGUCCUGGCCGUAAACGAUGGGCACUAAGUAGAGGGGUUUUA
rnacentral:rRNA from 1 species